AGUGAACGCUGGCGGUAGGCCUAACACAUGCAAGUCGAACGGCAGCACAGUAAGAGCUUGCUCUUACGGGUGGCGAGUGGCGGACGGGUGAGGAAUACAUAGGAAUCUACUUUUUCGUGGGGGAUAACAUAGGGAAACUUACGCUAAUACCGCAUACGACCUACGGGUGAAAGCAGGGGAUCUUCGGACCUUGCGCGAUUGAAUGAGCCGAUGUCGGAUUAGCUAGUUGGCGGGGUAAAGGCCCACCAAGGCGACGAUCCGUAGCUGGUCUGAGAGGAUGAUCAGCCACACUGGAACUGAGACACGGUCCAGACUCCUACGGGAGGCAGCAGUGGGGAAUAUUGGACAAUGGGCGCAAGCCUGAUCCAGCCAUACCGCGUGGGUGAAGAAGGCCUUCGGGUUGUAAAGCCCUUUUGUUGGGAAAGAAAAGCAGCAGGUUAAUACCCCGCUGUUCUGACGGUACCCAAAGAAUAAGCACCGGCUAACUUCGUG
rnacentral:rRNA from 1 species